rnacentral:rRNA from 1 species
AUAUCAAUAAGCGGAGGAAAAGAAACUAACAAGGAUUCCCCUAGUAACGGCGAGUGAAGCGGGAAUAGCUCAAAUUUGAAAUCUCACAGGGUUACCUGUGCGAAUUGUAGUUUAGAGAAGCGUUUUCGGCGGCGGCUUGGGCAUAAGUCCUCUGGAAAGGGGCAUCAUAGAGGGUGAGAAUCCCGUUUAUGGUCCAAUGUUCGCUGCCAUGUGAUACGCUUUCCAAGAGUCAGGUAGUUUGGGAUUGCUGCCUAAAAUGGGUGGUAAAUACCAUCUAAAGCUAAAUAUUGGCGAGAGACCAAUAGCGCACAAGUA